UACAGAGGGGGCAAGCGUUGUUCGGAAUUACUGGGCGUAAAGGGCGCGUAGGCGGCCAACUAAGUCAGACGUGAAAUCCCUCGGCUCAACCGGGGAACUGCGUAUGAUACUGGAUGGCUUGAAUCCGGGAGAGGGAUGUGGAAUUCCAGGUGUAGCGGUGAAAUGCGUAGAGAUCUGGAGGAACACCCGUGGCGAAGGCGGCAUCCUGGACCGGUAUUGACGCUGAGGCGCGAAAGACAGGGGAGCAAACGGG
rnacentral:rRNA from 1 species